UUUAUAGAGAUUUCGAGCAUUGAUAAAACUGAUAAUCUCACAUGUGAGAUUAUUUAUGAUAAUUUCACAUGUGAAAAUUAUCGCUUUUCAAUUAUCGCUUUUCUGUAAAAAUUAUCGCUUUUCAAAGACUGACCUUUAUACAAUAAACAGAAAAAUACACGGGUGCUUGGAAAUACCACUGAUUUAUUUCUUGUGUUUGUG